GUGAGGCAAUCUGGCUGUGACAUGGCACCCAUUAAUUGCCAGGCUGAUUUGCCUGGCUGGGUGUGUCCCCUUCCUCCUUCACUAUCCCACACAUGUUCCUAUCGAAGCUACACCUUUAGUUGAAGAUGAUGACCUUCCCCUAUGAAGAACUGUUUGUUCCUAAGCCAAGGUUGUAUAACUAUCUCCACUGGCACUCUAGAAAUUUUUAAUUAAUUUUUUAUU
rnacentral:sRNA from 1 species